rnacentral:rRNA from 1 species
GACGAACGCUGGCGGCGUGCCUAACACAUGCAAGUCGAACGAGAACGGGCUAUAGCUUGCUAUAGUUGUCAGCUAAGUGGCGCACGGGUGAGUAAUGUAUAGGUAAUAUGCCUCUUACUAAGGGAUAACAAAUGGAAACGUUUGCUAAUACCUUAGACUCCUUAUUAACAGAAGUUAAUAAGGGAAAGAUUUAUCGGUAAGAGAUUAGCCUGUAUUGUAUCAGUUAGUUAGUGGGGUAAUGGCUUACCAAGACUAUGACACAUAACUGGUUUGAGAGGAUGAUCAGUCACACUGGAACUGAGACACGGUCCAGACUCCUACGGGAGGCAGCAGUGGGGAAUAUUGCACAAUGGACGAAAGUCUGAUGCAGCAACGCCGCGUGGAGGAUGACACAUUUCGGUGCGUAAACUCCUUUUAUAUGAGAAGAUAAUGACGGUAUUAUAUGAGUAAGCACCGGCUAACUCCGUGCCAGCAGCCGCAGUAA